rnacentral:lncRNA from 1 species
GUGAGCCGGGCGGUAGAGUGGGCUGGUGGGUGAAAUGGAUGGGGCUCGACUCUGGCGCAGAUAGGGGAGGGGGGUGGCCCUGACGGCUUGGGGCCCAGGGUGGCAGUGGAGAUUGUGCACAGGGCCCGAGGUGGAGGUACAGGUCUCCAGGGCCAGAGGGAGGCCCCGAAAAAGAAGAAGGUGACAGGCCCGAUCCCCGGAGGACGGGGACCCGAGAAGGAAGAGUACACCAAAGAGGGCGUAUGCCUCAGCCCUGGAGUGCCACCAGCAAACAGGUGACAGGGUGGAGGCAUGAUGUUCUGCAAAGUCAUCUGGGCACCAGGAAGAGAAGCCAGCAGUAGAGCAGGCAAAGGAAGAAGCAGAGCAGCAGGAAGAUGAGUUCAUAGUGCAGAUCACAGAUGUCAGAACAAUAAGUCAAUAUCAGUUCAACAACUGGAGUGAAGAUUUCGAAUAUGAGGAAGAGAAAGAAGCAGAAGAAAAACUAAAAACACUAAACAAGGAGUUGAAGGAUCUGAAAAGGACCUGGACCCAGCAGAUGGCAGCUCUUGAAACCCCAGGUAGCCUUGACUCUACCAAGGUGGCAAGUCGCACGGAACACACUGAAUCAACCCACACCCUGAAUCAACCCAUACCC